GGGGAAAUGAGCUAACCUGGCAUGCUGUCAGCUUUGGGAGCUGGUUGUCUGUGUUCAAAUCACAGUUUCCCCA
rnacentral:tRNA from 1 species